GUAGCGUAUAUUAAAGCUGUUGCGGUUAAAAAGCUCGUAGUUGGAUAUCAGUGCGUGUCCGGUCCGGUAUGCCUGGCGCUGUCGCUCACGCGGCAAUGCUGGGCUCCCAAAUAUCGGCUGGCCGCAUUCAAUCGUGCCGGAUCCGUCGACGGGCCGUUCUUCGGAGGGGCCUGUUGGCGACCGGCGACGUUACCUUGAACAAAUUAGAGUGCUCAAAGCAGGCUCUUAAUGCCUGUAUACAUAUUCAUGGAAUUGGAGAAUACGUCCCUGGCUCGAUUUGGUUGGUUUUGAGAGUCGAAGGGAAAUGAUUAAUAGGGACUGACGGAGGCAUUCGUAUUGCGACGCGAGGGGUGAAAUCCUGUGACCGUCGCACGACGAACUACUGCGAAAGCAUUUGCCGAGAAUGUUUUCAUCGAUCAUGAACGAAAGUAGACC
rnacentral:rRNA from 1 species